UAAUAGCCCGGAUAGUAGUGAAAAGCGUUGCAGCCCAAAAGCUAUUCUUUUCCUGACCUAAAAAAGCGACUAGAAGAAGCUCUUUAUAGGGCAUCGGAAAAACAGCUUUCGGGCAAAAACUUGAAACGGAUAGCCGGAAUAGCU
rnacentral:sRNA from 1 species